rnacentral:lncRNA from 1 species
CCUCCCUUCCCCUGCUUGAUAUUUCUCUUUUAAGGUCUGAGGAGGAAAGCUGAAGAAAAAACAGAGUUCUUGGAUUAUUUAUAGGGCUUUGGGUGGUCUGUAGGAGGAAAGGGGUGUUACACAAAAGGAGGAAAGAACAUCUACAUAGAUUGAUGUAAGGCACUACAUGCGUGCCAAAGUUUUUUCUUCUCUUUUUUUUCCCCUCUCUUCCCCUCCCCUCAGAGACUCCGAUCUCUGCUGCCGUUUUUAAGAGGCUUUUUAAAAUCCUUAUAAAAGAGUGCUUAGGGGUGCCUCAGGAGUUUUACCAUCAUUUGGUUACCCUCUAUGUGCAUGCAAGUUGGGCUGCAAGGUUUUACAGGAUUUCUCCCUCUUUGGACUCAGCCAAAAAGCAAGGUUUUGUCACCCAGAUUUCACACAGCCCUGAUUUGGAUCAUCUCGUUGAAGCAGCCUCAGUGCAGAACUCUGGCACUGUCCAAAGUUGCCAGCUAGAUCUCAGCUGGCUGGAGCGUCUUCCUCAUACCAGUGAGUUUCUUCUAAAAUCUCAGCAGCCAAACCAGCCUUCCAAGCGCCCCUCACUCCGAAGCAUUCAGAGUUCAUAUCACUAAGGAAAAGGAUCCGAACAUUGUGACACAAUGAAGGAAUGGAUGUCUGUGGGGAUGCAGAUGACCCAUCUGUCAGAAGGAAGGAGGGAUUGCCCUUGGCUGGUGAGACACAGAAAGCAGCUAUGAAAGAACUGUUGGGAAAAGGUGAAUCCAAAUGAAAAGGAGACAUUCUUAGCCCAGAGAGCAGAGAUCACAACUCUCUAGGACAGGGGUAGUCAACUAUGGCACGCGUGCCAAAGGCGGCAUGCGAGCUGAUUUUCAGUGGCACUCACACUGCCCAGAUCCUGGCCACCUGUCCGGGGGGGCUCUGCAUUUUAAUUUAAUUUUAAAUGAAGUUUCUUAAACAUUGUAAAAACCUUAUUUACUUAACAUACAAACAUAGUUUAGUUAUAUAUUAUAGAUUUAUAGAAAGAGACCUUCUAAAAAUGUUAAAAUGUAUUACUGGCACACAAAACCUUAAAUUAGAGUGAAUAUAUGAAGACUCGGCACACUGCUUCUGAAAGGUUGCCAACCCCUGCUCUAGGAAAAGGGAGUGGGGAAGAUCCCAGUGCUGGGAGUGGGGAUCACAUGGUAACCCCAAGAAGGGAGGUGGAUUUUUUGCAUAUGUAGAGUUCUAGGGUUGGGAGACGGCUGAGCAGAGGGCCAGCCAAUAUGCAGGCUCUCCCUGAACCCUUAUCUCACCAGACCCUGAGGUGCCAAAAUCCCAGACGUAUGAUUAGAUUGAGAACCCAGGCAGAAAGGAACACAGGAGGGAAUGAAAAGCCAGUAACUGAUUACAUGCAAGGUUCA